UGCCUACGGGGGGCAGCAGUGGGGAAUAUUGCGCAAUGGGGGCAACCCUGACGCAGCAACGCCGCGUGCAGGAAGAAGGUCUUCGGAUUGUAAACUGUUGUCGCAAGGGAAGAAGACAGUGACGGUACCUUGUGAGAAAGUCACGGCUAACUACGUGCCAGCAGCCGCGGUAAUACGUAGGGAGCGAGCGUUAUCCGGAAUUAUUGGGCGUAAAGGGUGCGUAGAUGGCAUAGUAAGUCUUUUGUAAAAAUGCUGGGCUCAACCCAGUAGGGCAAAAGAUACUGCAAAGCUAGAGUAUGACAGAG
rnacentral:rRNA from 1 species